UGUUGCUACUGGUCAAUGUGGCCAGCGCAAUUACUAUUGAAAAGGCUAAAAACAAGUACAGGUCACCUUAUGCUUUGUCAUCUAAAAACGCAUACCUGAUGGCUUUAUGAAGGUGGUGCGUUAAUAUUAAGUUUACAGAAAGCGAUCGCUAAGUCCGUGACUUAUGUAAAUCACGAUGUACGCAUUCAUGCAAUAAAGGAUGAUGCGAAUUUCGGUUUCGAAUCUGUUUUUUGGAAGCGUAGUCGUUUCGUUUAGGUUUGACAUGCGAUCGCGCGUCGACAUCGGACGCUAUGGCACACUCGUGCCUUAUGUGCCACCGAAGCCCCGAAGUGGUCUGGCAUAUACCUUCACAUACAAUGCCUACGCCUAGCCACAGCAGCUCCCUCAUACAGACUCCGCAAGCCAAGAGGCCGUGGAGGCAAAUGCAGGCAGCCAGCACACCUCGAACAGCCACCUUGACUGCGGGUGUGUCACCCUAGUCGCCAAGGAAACAUUUGAGGGAAAGUGACAGGCAACGUGAACAGCCACUUCUCCAUGUAAACAAUACUCUUUCUCUCGGAUGACUCCUACGCCUCGCCACGCCAGCACACUUGUGCACAAAGAUGCCGCAGAGGCACGUGCAGGUCAGAGGCAAGAAGCAGUGGCACUGGUGUCGACAUUUACCCAAUUUCUUUUUCUUACACUGAGGCAGCCAGCACACCUCGAACAGCCACCUUGACUGCGGGUGUGUUAGUAGAUUCCUGUUGUACAUAUGCUCAUAAUAAACUUCAGUAAACUUGAACUUCAUAAUAAACUUGAAGGCAAAUGGGA